UCCCUGGUGGUCCAGUGGCUAAGACUCCCUGCUUCCAAUACAGGGUGCCUGGGUUCGAUUCCUGGUCAGGGAA
rnacentral:tRNA from 1 species